rnacentral:rRNA from 1 species
CGUCAAGUCAGCAUGGCCUUUAUGUCCAGGGCGACACACACGCUACAAUGGCAGGUACAAUGGGCAGCGAAGCCGCGAGGGGGAGCCAAUCCCAAAAAGCCGUUCUCAGUUCGGAUUGGAGUCUGCAACUCGACUCCAUGAAGUCGGAAUCGCUAGUAAUCGCGGAUCAGCACGCCGCGGUGAAUACGUUCCCGGGCCUU